GCCCAUGCACAUGAGGCCGCAGCUGAGUCGGGACGGCUCCGCCGUGCCGAUACCAUGAGGCGCACCGGGGGAGCUGUCUCCGCCUAGCCGCCCAGAGCAUCCUCCCCUCGAGCCGCUCCGAUCCCCUUGCCAUCCCCCAGCUCCAGCCUAACCCCGAGAGCGCUGGCGUCAAUCAGCCCCGCCGGCAUGGCCAUAUUCACGCCGCUGCUCCCUUGCAUCCUGUGCGCCAUCGACCUCUCCUCGGAAAUCUACAACAUUGAUGGCGGGGGCGCACCGCCGCUGCCUAAGGUCGACCCUGCGUGCGCCACCCACACCCCGCGUACAACGGCCGAGGCCUCCGCCGGCCACGGCAGUCCGAGCGCUCCGGCCUGGCUCGCCAUGUGCCGUCUCCCCCUACGACCUGAGGGUGUGGUGCGGACGAGGUUGCCAGGUUGGGAUGGCUCCAAUCUUCUUCGUCGACGUCCACGGCUCCACGAGACCAACCAGGAGAAGCAGGCAUCCAUGGAGGGAUUGAGCCCAGAGCGCUGCCUUUGUCGCUCUCUGGCUCUCCUGCCAAUCUCCGCUAUCCGGUGCCGCUGUCUGACCCUCGGCAGGCUCUCUUUCCCUCCUCCGUUCUGUACAAAAAAAAAGAUAAUCCUUUGCCUCUCCGUUCUCUUUUGUACAAUUCAGUUAACUCUUAUGAUGUUAAGAAAGUGAGGAACAUAUUAUGGGGUAUUGCUGGUUGGUCGAUUGUUUUAAUCAGAUGCUGGUUUGCAAGUCUGCCAUAUGUAUACGAGUAUGAGUACGAGACUACGAGCAAUGCAUGUUAGUGAAUUUCAAGGCUAUGAGAUACUAGAAAAUUGAGGAGCUAAUUGUAACUGCAUCAUCCCUUUGAAAUCAGAAUCACAUCUUAACGUGAUGCAUACCAUAACUGAUGAUAAAAGAAAUUCGUUGCAGCAGCUGCUGGGUUUGUGGAUUUUUUUGCUGAGCGGAUUGUGGAUCUUAUUAUAGAUUCAGCACUUGGAAGCUGAAGUAACACUACAGAAGUUCUCUACUCUUUUACUCUUUCUAAUGCCCUUCCAUCUGGAGCAGUUUAAUUUAUUCAGUACACGACUUGUCAUCUUCUCCCUAUGUAAAUCUUCAGCCUGGCCAUUCUAUUUUGAAAUGAGUUACAGUAUCAUGGACUUGCAUAUUUAACCCCAUCGGUAACAUGUUGGGUUUAUGGGAUUUUGCUUGCCUUCUGCGAGCAAACUUCAGAUGAAAAGCAGGCACAAAAUGCAUCAGAUCAAGUGUUGAUGGAGAUUGUACUAAAGAGGUAAUCUGUUUGAACUUCAAAUAUACAUAUUGUUGUGGUCUUGAUUGUCAUGGGCCAUAUGUUAAUUUUCCCCAGUUUUCUGUUUUGAUUUUUCUUGCUCAAGGCUCGAGAGCCAAACAUGUGACGUUGUUUGCAGAUAUUGUUUGCAUGAUCAACUUUCACUGUAUAAGGGCAUGCUUAUGGACGAUCUAGAUUCAGGUGUAGUUGAUGAAGAAAUGGAAAGAGAAGACUCAUCCAUACAGGAAAAAUUGGAUAUGGAGAAUAAAGGACUUCAGCAAUAGGAGGGUGGUUCAUGCCCAGCUUCUGCUCGAGGUGCAGCAAUAGAUGCAGCUGCAUCAACAGUGGCAAUUUGUGGUGAUUCAUUCGCAGUUCAUCUUCUAGACCAAGCCCCGGACGUCACUUACCUUACUUAUAGUCUAUACAAGGCCUUCCGUGCGGUCACCACUACUGAGCGUCUCCAUAUAGCAAAUUUAUAUGGCCAAGCACCUUUGGUGUGGUCGCCACGGCUGAGCCCUUAUAUGUUGCAGAUCUUAUAUGGCCAAGUUUGGUUCUGGUUUGAGAGAAAAGAAGUGCUGUUAAUUAAGGUAAUGGUGUCUUCCAAGAAGGGAAUAGGCAAGUGCAUAAGCUAGGUAGAGACACGUUAAUAACAGUAGGAAUCAAAAAGAUCCAUUGGAAUAUAAUCCACAAGCUGGUGCCCUGGUGAAGAAAUUAGUGUAAGUUAAGGAGAUACAGUAGAUGUUGACCAUUAAGGGCUUCAGGCCAACUGUAGGACAUCAGAUUUGGCAGUGGAUCAACACUGAUUUGCUUCUUGGUGUUUGUUUUUCACUGUUGGCUGUUCACAAACGCAAGAUCGUACUUCAUACAGAAGCUCUUCUA